AUUGAACGCUGGCGGCAGGCCUAACACAUGCAAGUCGAACGCGUGGCGGACGGGUGAGUAAUGUCUGGGAAACUGCCUGAUGGAGGGGGAUAACUACUGGAAACGGUAGCUAAUACCGCAUACCAUCGGAUGUGCCCAGAUGGGAUUAGCUAGUGGGUGGGGUAAGGGCUCACCUAGGAGACGAUCCCUAGCUGGUCUGAGAGGAGGACCAGCCACCCUGGAAUGGAGACACGAUCCAGACUCCGACGGGAGGCAGCAGUGGGGUAUAUUGCAGUAUGCGCGCAAGCCUGAUGCAGCCAUGCCGCGUGUCGGAAGAAAGGCUGCGGGUUGUAAAUGAAUUUCAGCGGGGAGGCGUUACCCUCAGAAGAAGCACCGGCUAACUCCGUGCCAGCCGCCGCGGUAAUUC
rnacentral:rRNA from 1 species